GCCCACGUGGUGCAAUGGUUAGCACAACCUUACUUGUUAGCUCCGUGGUAAAUGCAUUUGGAGGUAGAUUGGGGUUCAAUUCCCCACGAGGGCG
rnacentral:tRNA from 1 species